rnacentral:piRNA from 1 species
UUAUUUUAUUUUUUAUUUUUGUAGUGCGAG